rnacentral:rRNA from 1 species
AAGUCGUAACAAGGUCUCCGUUGGUGAACCAGCGGAGGGAUCAUUACUGAGUUUACGCUCUAUAACCCUUUGUGAACAUACCUAUAACUGUUGCUUCGGCGGGUAGGGUCUCCGCGACCCUCCCGGCCUCCCGCCCCCGGGCGGGUCGGCGCCCGCCGGAGGAUAACCAAACUCUGAUUCAACGACGUUUCUUCUGAGUGGUACAAGCAAAUAAUCAAAACUUUUAACAACGGAUCUCUUGGUUCUGGCAUCGAUGAAGAACGCAGCGAAAUGCGAUAAGUAAUGUGAAUUGCAGAAUUCAGUGAAUCAUCGAAUCUUUGAACGCACAUUGCGCCCGCCAGCAUUCUGGCGGGCAUGCCUGUUCGAGCGUCAUUUCAACCCUCAAGCUCCGCUUGGUGUUGGGGCCCUACAGCUGAUGUAGGCCCUCAAAGGUAGUGGCGGACCCUCCCGGAGCCUCCUUUGCGUAGUAACUUUACGUCUCGCACUGGGAUCCGGAGGGACUCUUGCCGUAAAACCCCCCAAUUUUCCAAAGGUUGACCUCGGAUCAGGUAGGAAUACCCGCUGAACUUAA